rnacentral:tRNA from 1 species
GGUAGGAUGGCUGAGUGAUUAAGCGGUGGUUUGUAGCUCCAUUGACAGAGGUCUGAAUUCCUCUUCCUGCCA